UAGAAAACCACUUGUGAUUGGUCCUGUUUUCAUUCUGAAACUUCAACAUCUGGCAGCAGGAGGAGUCUCCUGUAGCUGCAGUACUCACUCCCCACUGAGCUGCUGCUGAAUAUUUCAUCCUCAAAGCAGAGAUAGAGUGUCCCGAGCUCUUCACGAGAUCUACCCCUUUAUCUUUAGUGUGAGGAGUGAAACACCACGUCAGCAGUGUCGGUCUCAAACAGCAUCAGGACGACAGCUUGAAACAUGAGACGUGCUUUGUUUUUCAGUCAGACUCUCAUAUGAAACUCUGUGAUACUGCACCGGAGUUGAUGAAGGAACUGCCUGCAUCUUGCCAUAUGAGGCCAGGCAUUGUCGUCCACCAGGAGGAACCCAGGACCCAGUCUGACAAUGACUGCAAGGUUUCAUCCUGAUAAUGGCAGGCAGGGUGCCAUUGCCUAGCCUGUAGAGAUCUGUUAAUCCCUCCAUGGAUAUACAUCCCCAGACCAUCACUGACUCACCACCAAGCCUCUGGUUGUUCUUAUCCUGUUCCUCCUUUUACAAAGAAGAAGAUAUCGGUCCUACUGAUGGGUUAAGGACCUUCUAAGGUCCUUCUCCUCGAGUGCUGCCUAUCUCCUGGAAUCUUGAACAAUCUUGAAAUUUUAGUGGGAGACACAACAAAUCUUGUGGCAAUGGCACCCCGUCUGCUAAUAAACUGGCAUGAUUAUCACUUCAGGACUUAAGAGGAGCUGUUUUCCAUUCCUCCUUACAUAACUGGGUCUAUGUUGGGAUUCAUACUGGGCCAAGAUGACCACUGAGAGGGACAGACUAUCACUUUUACAGGAAGAGCAGGGCUUUGCCGUCACUUUAAGGGGGUGUAAGUUAAAUUUGUCUCUUUCUUCAGAAGGGGUCAGAGGUCAAAGUCAUCUAUAAUGUACAGCUCUAGGGUGAUUUGGAGCAUCAUGAUCUGCACCAAUGACAAGUAGGAUCUCCUUAUAUCCCAC
ensembl:lncRNA